AAGGAGAGGCUGGGAUGAGGAAACUUCCCCUCUAUCUUUUGGGAACAGUCCUCUCAGAGGCUCUGUCUCCUGGGGUCAGCCAUGUUCCUCCCCAACUAAUUUCCUUUUGGUAGGUCUUUGAAUCUAUCAGGAAAGUUUCAGAUCAAUUAGAAUCUAGAAGUGAGUGAGAACAUCAGAGAUAAAAUUUAACCUUCCCUGGGCUGUCCAGAGUGGAAAUUCUGAAGAGGAGACAGACCAUCACGAUCUGGCUGUGAAGUAAAGAAGAAUUUCAAGAGGCUCUCUGUCUUCAUGAUACCUGUGCCAUUGAAGUCCUGCAGUAACUCACAAGGCUAUUGAUCGCUCUCCACAACCUGAUGGUAACGCCUUGUCGCUGAAGACAACACUUACUCCUAAAGAAGAUAAGCUUGUGCCCAGCUAGACGCCUCACCCCCUACUGACCAUCCUUCAUGAUGCUGACUCUGCUUCCUGCAUCCCAUAGUCUAUACCAGCUAUCUACCCCUCUCUGCUCUUCUCUUUGAUGCCUACUGCUGUUCUAGGUAGGUUCCCUGUUGCUAUCAAGUACAAGACAAGCCUUUGAUCAGAGGUGAGUAGAAGAGGAACAUUUAUGCUAUGCUACCCAGUGUCCAAGGCCUGGGCAUGAUGAUGGUGCUGAAGACAGAGAUAGAUGGUGCUUUUGUGAAUUGUAUUGAUUAAAUGGUUGAAAGUUCUCGCUGAAUAAGACCAAGGACAGAGAGGUUG
rnacentral:lncRNA from 1 species